UGCCAAGACCAUAUCAGUCGAACCAGGACGAAGCCCGGGGCGAGAAGGCGAUUAGACACCACCGUAUUCCCGGGCGUAAACGAUGCCACCGAGAGACUGGCCAGGUCGUCAGGAUCGAAGGGAAACCGAUCAGGGUACGGGCUCUGGGGGAGUAUGGCCGCAAGGCUGGAACUUGAAGGCAUUGACGGAGGGGUACCACCAGACGUGGAGUCUGCGGCUCAAUUUGACUCAACGCGAACACCUUACCAGGCCCAGACGUACGGAGGAUCGACGGUUGAGAGGACCUUCGUGAUCGUACGAGUGGUGGUGCAUGGCCGUUCACAGCCCGUGGCUUGAGCCGUCUGCUUGACUGCGACAACGAGCGAGACCCUAACCUGGAUGGGACCGCCAAUGGUGAAUUGGAGGAAGGUGGGGCGAUAACAGGUCUGUGAUGCCCUUAGACGCCCUGGGCUGCACGCGUACUACACUGUGGGGAUGAAACCACGUCGAGUUGUGAAGCUUGAUGAGAUCAAACCCCCACGUGGUUGGGAUCGUGGACUGGAACGUCCUCGUGAACCUGGAAUGUCUAGUAGGCGUAGGUCAUCAAUCUACGCCGGAUACGUCCCUGCCCCUUGUACACACCGCCGUCGCUCCUACCGACUGGGUCUUCUGGCGAGCUCCUGGGAGGGAUGAACCGAACAGGGACGAACCGCGAGGCUUGGAGGAAGGAGAAGUCGUAACAAGGUAUCCGUAGGUGAACCUGCGGAUGGAUCCAUC
rnacentral:rRNA from 1 species